rnacentral:rRNA from 1 species
UACGUAGGGUGCAAGCGUUAAUCGGAAUUACUGGGCGUAAAGCGUGCGCAGGCGGUUCUAUAAGACAGAUGUGAAAUCCCCGGGCUCAACCUGGGAACUGCAUUUGUGACUGCACGGCUGGAGUGCGGCAGAGGGGGAUGGAAUUCCGCGUGUAGCAGUGAAAUGCGUAGAUAUGCGGAGGAACACCGAUGGCGAAGGCAAUCCCCUGGGCCUGCACUGACGCUCAUGCACGAAAGCGUGGGGAGCAAACAGG